GACGAACGCUUGCGGCGUGCUUAACACAUGCAAGUCGAACGGAAAGGCCCUGCUUUUGUGGGGUGCUCGAGUGGCGAACGGGUGAGUAACACGUGAGUAACCUGCCCUUGACUUUGGGAUAACUUCAGGAAACUGGGGCUAAUACCGGAUAGGAGCUCCUGCUGCAUGGUGGGGGUUGGAAAGCUUCGGCGGUUGGGGAUGGACUCGCGGCUUAUCAGCUUGUUGGUGGGGUAGUGGCUUACCAAGGCUUUGACGGGUAGCCGGCCUGAGAGGGUGACCGGCCACAUUGGGACUGAGAUACGGCCCAGACUCCUACGGGAGGCAGCAGUGGGGAAUAUUGCACAAUGGGCGGAAGCCUGAUGCAGCAACGCCGCGUGCGGGAUGACGGCCUUCGGGUUGUAAACCGCUUUCGCCUGUGACGAAGCGUGAGUGACGGUAAUGGGUAAAGAAGCACCGGCUAACUACGUGCCAGCAGCCGCGGUGAUACGUAGGGUGCGAGCGUUGUCCGGAUUUAUUGGGCGUAAAGGGCUCGUAGGUGGUUGAUCGCGUCGGAAGUGUAAUCUUGGGGCUUAACCCUGAGCGUGCUUUCGAUACGGGUUGACUUGAGGAAGGUAGGGGAGAAUGGAAUUCCUGGUGGAGCGGUGGAAUGCGCAGAUAUCAGGAGGAACACCAGUGGCGAAGGCGGUUCUCUGGGCCUUUCCUGACGCUGAGGAGCGAAAGCGUGGGGAGCGAACAGGCUUAGAUACCCUGGUAGUCCACGCUGUAAACGGUGGGUACUAGGUGUGGGGUCCAUUCCACGGGUUCCGUGCCGUAGCUAACGCUUUAAGUACCCCGCCUGGGGAGUACGGCCGCAAGGCUAAAACUCAAAGGAAUUGACGGGGCCCCGCACAAGCGGCGGAGCAUGCGGAUUAAUUCGAUGCAACGCGUAGAACCUUACCUGGGUUUGACAUGGAUCGGGAGUGCUCAGAGAUGGGUGUGCCUCUUUUGGGGUCGGUUCACAGGUGGUGCAUGGCUGUCGUCAGCUCGUGUCGUGAGAUGUUGGGUUAAGUCCCGCAACGAGCGCAACCCUUGUUCACUGUUGCCAGCACGUUAUGGUGGGGACUCAGUGGAGACCGCCGGGGUCAACUCGGAGGAAGGUGGGGAUGACGUCAAGUCAUCAUGCCCCUUAUGUCCAGGGCUUCACGCAUGCUACAAUGGCUGGUACAGAGAGUGGCGAGCCUGUGAGGGUGAGCGAAUCUCGGAAAGCCGGUCUCAGUUCGGAUUGGGGUCUGCAACUCGACCUCAUGAAGUCGGAGUCGCUAGUAAUCGCAGAUCAGCAACGCUGCGGUGAAUACGUUCCCGGGGCU
rnacentral:rRNA from 1 species